AGCUUUUCUCUUUCAGAAACAGUAAAAAUGGGAAGGUUUCACACACGUCACCUUCAACGCUCUGGAUUCUCAUCAGAAAUUUGUUCAGCAACUCAUCCAAGGAGGUGCAACUGAGGUAGACUCACCUGACAAAAGUGAUGUCAUCAUUGUCUUCUGUCCCAUCGUCAGUCGCCCCGGGACUGACAUAACUGCAGCAUUAUCCAGCAUCUCAGAACUGUUUGGAUGUAAACCAGUGAUCCUGGUGGUGAUGCACCACACCUUCAACCCAGAGCUCACUGUGGCAGACAGCAGCAGACUGGUGAACAGCAGCUCUGUCAAACUGGUUGUGGACUGUCUCUUCUAUGAGACCAAGGGACUUUUGGACUGCCCACGCAAUGAAAAUGCAGUCAGACAGGUUCUUGAACAGAUGGAUCUUCCAAAAUCAUC